rnacentral:lncRNA from 1 species
GGCCGACGCAACUUCUUUUCUGGGAAAAUUAGGACUACCCAUUCCAGCCGAUAACCGUGCGCUUCCUGAGAGUGCCAGAGACCCGGCCACCAUCAACCCCUUUGUCCCACGCACCAGAGGGACACCACCACCCGUACAGUGACAGCCCAAACAGACACCUAUGGCUACACAAUCUAGCCCACGUUAGAAGGCUCUGGCCUCGAGCCACCCGGAGAUGACAUUGAUACACGAGGGAAACCUCGUACUCGGA